rnacentral:rRNA from 1 species
UACGGGAGGCAGCAGUGAGGAAUAUUGGUCAAUGGGCGAGAGCCUGAACCAGCCAAGUAGCGUGAAGGAUGACUGCCCUAUGGGUUGUAAACUUCUUUUAUAAAGGAAUAAAGUCGGGUAUGNAUACCCGUUUGCAUGUACUUUAUGAAUAAGGAUCGGCUAACUCCGUGCCAGCAGCCGCGGUAAUACGGAGGAUCCGAGCGUUAUCCGGAUUUAUUGGGUUUAAAGGGAGCGUAGAUGGAUGUUUAAGUCAGUUGUGAAAGUUUGCGGCUCAACCGUAAAAUUGCAGUUGAUACUGGAUAUCUUGAGUGCAGUUGAGGCAGGCGGAAUUCGUGGUGUAGCGGUGAAAUGCUUAGAUAUCACGAAGAACUCCGAUUGCGAAGGCAGCCUGCUAAGCUGCAACUGACAUUGAGGCUCGAAAGUGUGGGUAUCAAACAGGAUUAGAUACCCUGGUAGUCCACACGGUAAACGAUGAAUACUCGCUGUUUGCGAUAUACNGCAAGCGGCCAAGCGAAAGCGUUAAGUAUUCCACCUGGGGAGUACGCCGGCAACGGUGAAACUCAAAGGAAAUUGACGG